CAGUCGCCGCGGUAAUACGUAGGUGGCAAGCGUUGUCCGGAAUUAUUGGGCGUAAAGGGCUCGCAGGCGGUUUCUUAAGUCUGAUGUGAAAGCCCCCGUCUCAACCGGGGAGGGUCAUUGGAAACUGGGAAACUUGAGUGCAGAAGAGGAGAGUGGAGUUCCACGUGUAGCGGUGAAAUGCGUAGAGAUGUGGAGGAACACCAGUGGCGAAGGCGACUCUCUGGUCUGUAAUUGACGCUGAGGAGCGAAAGCGUGGGGAGCGAACAGGAUUAGAUACCCCGGUAGUCCCUGUCUCUUAUAA
rnacentral:rRNA from 1 species